rnacentral:rRNA from 1 species
GCCUCGGUCUCGUGGGCUCGGAGAUGUGUAUAAGAGACAGCCGGGUGACCUACCCAUGGUCAGGUUGAAGUGGAAGUAAAAUUCCAUGGAGGACCGAACCGACCUCCGUUGAAAAGGCGGCGGAUGAACUGUGGGUAGCGGAGAAAUUCCAAUCGAACCCGGAGAUAGCUGGUUCUCCCCGAAAUAGUUUUAGGACUAGCCUCAAGUUAGAUACCUGGAGGUAAAGCACUGAAUAGCCUAGCGGCCGAGAGGUUAGCGAAGCUUAUCAAACUCAGAAUGCCAGAGUAUUGAUGCUUGGGAGUCAGACAGUGUCAGAUAAAUGUCAUUGUCAAAAGGGAAACAGCCCAGAUCUACAGCUAAGGUCCCAAAGUCAGGUUAAGUGGAAAACGAUGUGAAGAUACGUAGACAACCAGGAUGUUGGCUCAGAAGCAGCCACACAUUCAAAGAGUGCGUAAUAGCUCACUGGUCGAGCGUCUUUGCGCGGAGAAUUUAACGGGGCUAAACCUGACACCGAAGCUUAGGCAAUACAGCAAUGUAUUGGGUAGGGGAGCGUUGUAUACGCGGUGAAACAGUAGCGCAAGCGGCUGUGGAGUGUAUAGAAGUGAGAAUGCCGGAAUGAGUAGCGCGAAUGCAGUGAGAAUCUGCAUGGCCGAAAGCCUCAGGUUUCUGGAGGAAGGUUCGUCCGCUCCAGGUUAGUCGGGAGCUAAGGUGAGGCCUAACGGCGUAGCCGAUGCACAGACGGUAGAGAUUCCGUCACCACCAAAAGAGUUAAGCACAGGGACACAUUUGAAGUCUCAGAGCCGGGUGUUGGUUCCGGUAGAGAUCGAGGGAAAUUAGUACCGAAGUCUGAGAUGGAAGAUGGCGAGAAAAGCUGUGUGUAUUUCUGCGGUGCCCGUACCGCAAACCGACACAGGUAGGUAGGAAGAAGAUUCUAAGGCCAACGGGAGAAGGGUUGUUAAGGAACUCGGCAAAUUGACCCCGUAACUUCGGGAGAAGGGGUGCUCUAGAGAUAGAGCCGCAGAGAAUCGGCCCAAGCAACUGUUUACCAAAAACACAGGUUUGUGCUAAAUCGAAAGAUGACGUAUACGAGCUGACGCCUGCCCGGUGCUGGAAGGUUAAGAGGAGAUGUGCAAGCAUUGAAUCGAAGCCCCAGUGAACGGCGGCCGUAACUAUAACGGUCCUAAGGUAGCGAAAUUCCUUGUCAGGUAAG